rnacentral:rRNA from 1 species
CCGCCAGAGAACUACAAGUGAAAAACUUCAAACUCAAAGGACUUGGGGGUGUCCCAUAUCGACCUAGAGGAGCCUGUCCUAUAAUCGAUNCCCCCCGCUCUACCUAACCUCUACUAGCACCUCUCAGCCUAUAUACCGCCGUCGACAGUCUACCCCAUGAGGGUCUGAAAGUAGACAUAAUAGCCUACCCGCUAACACGUCAGGUCAGGGUGUAGCACAUGUUGAGGGAGAGAUUGGCUACAUUUUUUAUUUUAAAAAAAACGAAAUGCAACAUGAAACCUUGCUCGAAGGUGAAUUUAGUAGUAAGAU